rnacentral:rRNA from 1 species
CCAGACUCCUACGGGAGGCAGCAGUGGGGAAUAUUGGGCAAUGGGCGAAAGCCUGACCCAGCAACGCCGCGUGAAGGAAGAAGGCUUUCGGGUUGUAAACUUCUCUUGGCAGGGAAGAAACAGACGGUACCUGGCUAAGAAGCCCCGGCUAACUACGUGCCAGCAGCCGCGGUAAUACGUAGGGGGCAAGCGUUAUCCGGAUUCACUGGGUGUAAAGGGAGCGUAGACGGCGACGCAAGUCUGGAGUGAAAGCCCGGGGCCCAGCCCCGGGACUGCUCUGGAAACUGCGGCGCUGGAGUACGGGAGGGGCAGGCGGAAUUCCUGGUGUAGCGGUGAAAUGCGUAGAUAUCAGGAGGAACACCGGCGGCGAAGGCGGCCUGCUGGACCGUGACUGACGUUGAGGCUCGAAAGCGUGGGGAGCAAACAGGAUUAGAUACCCCUGUACA